CCUUCUUUAUCAUUAAUUUUGAACAAUUUGCUGCAAUACGAUUUUUUUGGUCUCCGACAUGUUUGGUGUUUAUUUGAAUGUUUUAAGGUAUUCAUAAUUUAUAAGCAAAACCUGUUCUUUCAUUUUAGAAAUUUGGUUAUCAUGUUAUUGAAGGGAAUGCCAGAUAUGUAGAAAACAUAGAGACAAAUCUAGUAGAGAAUACAGUAAAAAUUCACACCCCAGCACAUAAUGAUGUUAUGGAAUCGUACCAAAUCCAAGAUUUCCGUCAGGUUUGUAAAUGAACAACACUAUUAUCUAUGAAUGGUGAUUUUUUUUGCAGUGUGUUUUAAACUUAAUAACUAUAUCAUUUUUUUCAUUCUAUUAAGUAUUUUGUCACAUAUUUGAAAAAAAGCAAAAUACACUCUAUACGUAUCACAAAAAAUUAAAAAGUAUUUGUUAUAAUCAAAUAACUUCCUUAAGUAAAAAGUAUGUUUUCUUUACAGGGUCAACAGAUGAAAUGUCUCCCUUCCAUCGAGCAAUGUAGACUGCGGGACAUAGACAGAAAAACUGCUGGAGAUGCCGGUCAAGUUACAGAGGGAUUUAUCCACAGCUGGGUAUGAAAUAGAUGAACACUAUUCUAUAAUGUUAUAUUUGUCAGUUAAUCAAAAUCUGUUAAAAAUACAAAAAAAAAAAAGUCAGUCAUAUGCAUGGUUUUAGCCAUUCGAAAAAGUCUAUAAGAUUUUAAAAGCAUUCGAAUGUAAGUGUGCAUAAUGUUGUUCGAAAGAGGCAUUGCAUUGUGCUACGAACUCAAUAUUCUUAAACCAGUUUGUACGAAAACAUAAAUAGAUAAAGAUGUUUUUCAUUCAUUUUUGGGCGAACAGAAAGUAAUCAUUUGUAUAACUGAACACUGAUUAAACAAAUUAGCAAAGUACAGAGUCGUCACCAUCUUAAACCUACAAUGAUCAAUACAGUGGUUUCUGUUUUGUGUUUGAAACGACCGAAGAAAAAAUGGUCAUCUGUCUAGCUAUUUAUUUUUCGAUCCCGUUAUACUUAUCAUUGGCAGUAAAUCCGGAAAAGCCUUUCGAAAGCAGCAAAUUGAAAAAUAAAACAUUCUUUGUAUUAUAUACAAGAUAAAGUAGACUGAGCGUUAACAAAUAUCCUUUCUGCAACCUAACUCAUGGUUUAAAUUGAAAAUCUGUACAGAAAAAAAGCGAUUACAAACAUUGGACUAUUCAAAUAUCAACUCAAUAAAACAUUAUUUUGAAUAGAAAAAAGAUUCAGAAUUCUACAAUAACAUGAAUAAUAUUUCUUUAUUUUAAAGUGAACACGUAUACCCACACAUUGCUACCUGAUGAAAUAUAACAACCAUGUAUGUUAACAAAAAUUUACUUGUUUAAUGUCUUAUAUUCUUGUUUUCACAUUAAUAUAUAAUGUUUGUGUAUGUGUGUGUGUUUGUACGUCUGCGUUGGUAUGUUUACGUGCGAAUAAUUACUUCUUUUUUUAUAGAACAAAGGAGAUAAUACUAUAAAUAGUGACAACGAGAAAGUGGUCAAGGAAAUGUAUUAUAUCAAUUUGGAUGAGGUAGUGGAUGUCAGCUUCCUUGAAGGGGCUUUGAAAAAGUUUUAUCAGGAUUUUAAUUACCCUGUGUAUAAGGAAAAGAAGAUACCAGAAGAUGCUGAAAUGUUGAAUAUAACAC
rnacentral:lncRNA from 1 species